UACGUAGGUGGCAAGCGUUGUCCGGAUUUACUGGGCGUAAAGAGCGCGCAGGCGGUCGUUCAAGUCGCGUGUGAAAGCCCCCGGCUCAACUGGGGAGGGUCACGCGAUACUGAUCGACUCGAAGGCAGGAGAGGGAAGUGGAAUUCCCGGUGUAGUGGUGAAAUGCGUAGAUAUCGGGAGGAACACCAGUGGCGAAGGCGGCUUCCUGGACCGACACUGACGCUGAGGCGCGAAAGCUAGGGAGCAAACGGG
rnacentral:rRNA from 1 species